rnacentral:rRNA from 1 species
ACCCAGACCGCCAGCUAAGGUCCCAAAGUCAUGGUUAAGUGGGAAACGAUGUGGGAAGGCCCAGACAGCCAGGAUGUUGGCUUAGAAGCAGCCAUCAUUUAAAGAAAGCGUAAUAGCUCACUGGUCGAGUCGGCCUGCGCGGAAGAUGUAACGGGGCUAAACCAUGCACCGAAGCUGCGGCAGCGACACUAUGUGUUGUUGGGUAGGGGAGCGUUCUGUAAGCCUGUGAAGGUGUGCUGUGAGGCAUGCUGGAGGUAUCAGAAGUGCGAAUGCUGACAUAAGUAACGAUAAAGCGGGUGAAAAGCCCGCUCGCCGGAAGACCAAGGGUUCCUGUCCAACGUUAAUCGGGGCAGGGUGAGUCGACCCCUAAGGCGAGGCCGAAAGGCGUAGUCGAUGGGAAACAGGUUAAUAUUCCUGUACUUGGUGUUACUGCGAAGGGGGGACGGAGAAGGCUAUGUUGGCCGGGCGACGGUUGUCCCGGUUUAAGCGUGUAGGCUGGUUUUCCAGGCAAAUCCGGAAAAUCAAGGCUGAGGCGUGAUGACGAGGCACUACGGUGCUGAAGCAACAAAUGCCCUGCUUCCAGGAAAAGCCUCUAAGCAUCAGGUAACAUCAAAUCGUACCCCAAACCGACACAGGUGGUCAGGUAGAGAAUACCAAGGCGCUUGAGAGAACUCGGGUGAAGGAACUAGGCAAAAUGGUGCCGUAACUUCGGGAGAA